CAGGCUAGUUAUGCCUGGGGCUGGUAGAAAUUAAUAUAUGAAUUGUGGUCCCUGUCUUCAAAGAGUUUGCAGUAUUCGAAGAAAAUAUAAAAACGUUGAAAAUCAGAAAAUGAUUAUUGUAAUUCGGGAAGAAAAAAACAAUCCCUUAAAUGGAGGGUGAUAGGAAUAGUUUCCAAGGUUUGUGUUUGUUGCUUAAGACUUCAGAUCUCAAGAAGAUCCUAAUAAGAGAUCAGUGACAAUACAGAGUUGUUUUUGCAGCUCUGACAUUUUUCUUUCCGUGUUAGUGCAUAAUUUUCAGAGAAUUCGUCUCCCUUCUGGCCAUGGCCUCUCAAAUGUGUGUGAGUCCUGCCUGUCUGAAAACAGGCCAUAAUAAUGUCUACUUCCUGUGUAUUGUGGAAUAGUAUGAGCCCAAUAUGAGUUAAAGAAGCAACAGCAGCUGCUAGUGAAAAGAAAAAAGAGAAGAGAAAAAUCAGGGCACUAAAAAUGUGAAGAAAGCUUUGCUGAUAGUCACAGCUAGGCAGAGGUACCAGCCAGCAAGGUUAUCAGGCCCAGAUAGCAGAAUGCCUUUAGUCCAGAGAAAGAAAUUUCCUCCUCCAUAUUAGGUUAGUUCUGAUGGCGAGGAGGGAGGCUAAACCAAAACCAUGUUUGAAGGAAAUCAGAUGAGUCUGAUGAUAUAACAUACUCCCAUAAUUAAUAUAUCUUUUACAGUUAUUUGAGAUCAUUUUCCAAUUAAACCAUGGCAGUUAUUCCCUGAAUCAGUGGUGUUGGCAGGUUGUCAUCUAGGGUUGUUAUGGACAUGUGUGGUGAAGUUGCAGGUUAAAUGCAAAGAUCAGGAGAGACAAAUCUUGAGAACUCACCUGGAGCAAAUAACCAGAACCCAUGCUUGUGAUAGCACUGAAGACCAAAGAUCAGAUUUUCAGCCAGAAAGCUCAGAAGUUCUAUAUGACAAGGCCAUUAAGUUGAACAGGAAAUAGGAUAUAUAUGUCUAUGUCUGUAUAUGUAUUUAUACAGCAGAUACAAGUCAGAAACCAGGAGACAUUGACAAUCAGCCCUAGACAGAAAUGGGCUACACUUACUCUGAAGUGACUGGUUUGCUUGGUUGGCGAUGAUGUAAGAGCAGUUCUUAGCUGGGACUCAUGCAUUAGCAUUGCCUAUAGAGCCUUAAAACAUAAUGCACCGAGUGUCCAUACCAAGAGGAAGAAGGUCCAGUGCAGUUAGGGUAGGGGAGAGCAAGGAGGAUAAGAGCGCUUGUCUCCUGGAGACCUGAGUUUGAUCCCUGAAACCCACUUAGAAGGAGAGACAACACAAUUAUCCACACAAUUAUCCUCUGAUUCCACAUGCUUGAUGUUGUACAUCACAUAUAUCACGUGCACAAAUAAUAAAGUUAAAUUAGAAUUGAAUAGGCCCUGGUCUCCAUAUUUUAAAUUUUCUAUUCAGUUGAAUCUUAUAAUACUGAAAGCUCCAAUAAUCACAUGUUUAGGGCUGGCAAGAUGGCACAGGAGAUAGACAUUUGCCUCCUAAGCCUGGCAACUUCAACUUGAUUCUCAUAACAAUUAAUGGCAGAAGGAGAAAAUUGACUCCACCCGAUUGUUCUCUGACCUUCAUAUUUAUAUCAUGUGCUCCAUCACCCAUCCCAUAAACAUGCACAUACACAAUACUACAUGUUCAAUGUACAAGAAUAAUAUAUGCAUUUGGCCUCUAGUAGUAUUUUCCCAUAUCCUUGUAAUUACUGCAUUUGUUUUUUAAAAAAUAAAGAAAAUGCUGAAUGUGAUCACC
rnacentral:lncRNA from 1 species